UACAGACUACCCAAAAGGGUAUCGAUAGCCGUGAUGGCCCGACGCCGAAUCUGAUCGGCAGAGUCAAGAACCCGUUGGUCUUCUUCUGCCGAUCCAGGGACCUCCGAUGCGUUGCGGUGGAGUCUCAGAGCCUCUUGGGCAAAACGCUGCCUCUCCCGUGUCAAAUCGGCAAUAGCAGAGGGUAAAUCUUGAAGUCUUUUCUCUUCGGCGCUGAUUGCCUUGGUCACUUGCUCCAUCUCUUUAGCAAG
rnacentral:lncRNA from 1 species